AUUGAACGCUGGCGGCAGGCUUAACACAUGCAAGUCGAACGAGUGGCGGACGGGUGAUUAAUGCCUGGGAAACUGCCUGAUGGAGGGGGAUAACUACUGGAAACUGUAGCUAAUACCGCAUACCAUCGGAUGUGCCCAGGUGGGAUUAGGUAGUUGGUGGGGUAAAGGCUCACCUAGGCGACGAUCCCUAGCUGGUCUGAGAGGAUGACCAGCCACACUGGGACUGAGACACGGUCCAGACUCCUACGGGAGGCAGCAGUGGGGAAUAUUGCGCAAUGGGCGCAACCCUGAUGCAGCCAUGCCGCGUGAAUGAAGAAGGCCUUCGGGUUGUAAAGUACUUUCAGCGAGGAGGCGUUACUCGCAGAAGAAGCACCGGCUAACUCCGUGCCAGCCGCCGCGGUAAUAC
rnacentral:rRNA from 1 species